GCUGGAAUAGCUCAGUUGGUAGAGCAAUGCUCUCGUAAAGCAAAGGUCGUAAGUUCAAAUCUUAUUUCCAGCACCA
rnacentral:tRNA from 1 species